AAUUAGCUCAGCUGGUUAGAGCGUCGGAUUGUGGUUCCGAAGGUCGUGGGUUCGAAUCCCAUAUU
rnacentral:tRNA from 1 species